GAUGAACGCUGGCGGCGUGCCUAAUACAUGCAAGUCGAGCGAACAGAUGAGGAGCUUGCUCCUCUGACGUUAGCGGCGGACGGGUGAGUAACACGUGGAUAACCUACCUAUAAGACUGGGAUAACUUCGGGAAACCGGAGCUAAUACCGGAUAAUAUAUUGAACCGCAUGGUUCAAUAGUGAAAGACGGUUUUGCUGUCACUUAUAGAUGGAUCCGCGCCGCAUUAGCUAGUUGGUAAGGUAACGGCUUACCAAGGCAACGAUGCGUAGCCAACCUGAGAGCGUGAUCGGCCACACUGGAACUGAGACACGGUCCAGACUCCUACGGGAGGCAGCAGUAGGGAAUCUUCCGCAAUGAGCGAAAGCCUGACGGAGCAACGCCGCGUGAGUGAUGAAGGGCUUCGGAUCGUAAAACUCUGUUAUGAGGGAAGAACAAAUGUGUAAGUAACUAUGCACGUCUUGACGGUACCUAAUCAGAAAGACACGGCUAACUACGUG
rnacentral:rRNA from 1 species